UAUGGUUGCCUGCCUUCCCUGUUCCUUUAACCACACACACCACCCAGUCAAUACCUGAAAAGGAGAGUCCAGGCAUCCUGCACCCAUUGGUACAAAAUUCCUGGAUAUUGUCACUUUCCUGUCACCUAGCUCCAUUCUUGGAUAUAUUUAACUCCUAACAUCUCAGUGUUGUCUUCUUUUCCCUCUCCACAUCCAGAUCUUUGGACCUUUAUUCAUGUUUGUUUAUUCACUUAUUAUUUAUUUCUGCUACCAAUAUUGUUGCCAUCCUGUGCAAGUGCUGUACCGAGGGUGUAUGUGAUGGAGAACAAACAAAGGAGGCUCCUGCGCUCUUAGGAUUUGCAGUUUGGUACCCACCAGUGGGUGUGACCCUGGGCACCCAUGCAUGGAUAUGAUGUCUGUACCUGCCUUUUGCCUUCAUCUGGACUUGCCAGGAAACCACACAGCCUAGUCCAAACCCUCCCUUGAGACUAUACCAACACAUCAGCCUACCUGACCAGCAUCCCUGGUCCCUGACAGUGGGUAUCAGACACAUGGGACAUCUGACCACCUUGGGUUUGCUCACCACCUAGCAUGGGGCCUGUACUAAAUACAAAGUCUCUUCGGUUGGGUUUGUGUCUUCCUCCCAGUUCCACUGAAAUUGCUCUGGUUGAGAUCACCGAUGUCCUCCAUCUGCCACAUCUGUGUCCUCCUCUAACCCCACCUUUCAGAAGUAUUCCAUUCUGUUGGCCGCCCCUUCGUGAAACUUUCUCUCCCCUUGGAGUUGAGGACACCGCGUAUAAUAGAUGCUCUGAUGUGCCACCCAGAUUCCUCCUGCAAGACCAAGGACCUCAUGGCUCCAGCUACCAGGAGCAUCGGUAGCUGACAGCCCGGGGGUCAGCCCAUCCCUGGGGGUUGCCCUCAGAUGGAGGAAGCUGACCUGACCAAACUUAUGCCCCCUCCCACGGACAGCCCACAUGCAAGGGCUGGUCGAUGUGGGGAUACAGAGUCCAGCCCCGAUUGCAACUUGGGGACACUAUAGAGGACCGUCCCAGCUGCAGAGCUGCCCACUGUACAACCUGAGGCUCUGCUGCAACAGCAUCACGCCAUUCGCUUCCUCUCUGUACCUCAGCCUGCUCUGUAUUUCCCCAAAGGUGUUAUUCCCCAUGCCUCCCAAAAUCUGUCUCCAGGGGUCCCAACCUAACAUACCGAAGUCUCCUGGUUUCCCUCUUACCUUUGUUUUCUGUCAGCUGAAUUUCUCACGAGUUCAUUUAACUGGUUUCUUUUCUGAUUCAACUUUAAAAUACCUUUAAAAAAAAAAGUUAUUAAACUUUCUAUUUUAGACCAGU